rnacentral:lncRNA from 1 species
UUAUGAAUUAAUUCUAUGAAUUAAUUUCCUGGGCUUUCCAAAGGCCCCCUCUAUCAUGAAUUAAUUCGACAAAUUAAUUUCACGGGUUUGCCAAAUAGGCCCUUUAUCACGGAUUAAUUCUAUGAAUUAAUUUUAUGAGCCCUCCUUGUCAUAGAUAAAUUUCAUGAAUUAAUGGGCCCUCCAAAUGGCUCCUUAUCACAAAUUAAUUCAAUGGGCUCUCCAAAUGACCCCUAUCAUGAAUUAAUUUCAUCAAUUAAUUCAAUGGACUUUACAAACGGGCUCCUAGCAUGAAUUAAUUUCAUGAAUCAGCUUCAUGAACAUCUCGAUUUCAAACGACCGAAAAUUCGUUAAACUAAACCCAAAUUUCAAACGACCGAAAAGUCGUUAAACUAAACCCAAAUUUCAAACGACCGAAAAGUCGUUAAACUAAACCCAAAUCCAAACGACCGAAAAGUCGUUAAACUAAACCCAAAUUUCUUGAACCAUGAACCAAGUCCAUACACCAAAUCUAUGAACCAUAUCCAAGUUUAUGAACCAAGUCCAUACACCAAACCCAUGAACCAUAUCCAAGUUCAUGAACCAAACCCAUACACCAAAUCCAUGAACCAUAUCCAAGUUCAUGAACCAAGUCCAUACACCAAAUUUAUGAACCAUAUCCAAGUUCAUGAACCAAGUCCAUACACCAAAUUCAUGAACCAUAUCCAAAUUCAUACUCAAAUCUCAUGAACCAAUACCCAAAUCUCAUCGUGAACCUUUUUUACUCUGUCACAUAUACCUAGAGUAAAAAUUAAAUAUCGACUACUCCUAAUACAUAUACUUAGGGCUAAAUCAAUCGCCUUACCACAUAUAACUAAGGCAAAAAUCUCCAAAUCGACAGAGUUUUAAGUCAUAUACUUAGAAUUCAGUCAAAUGAUAUCAAGUUUAUUCGAACUCUAACAUAUAUACUUAGAGUUCAUCCGACUAACCCUAACACAUAUAUUAGGGUCUAGUCAGCCUUUUGCUCUAGCACAUAUACCUAGAGUGGAAGUCAAACCAUGGUCGACUAACCCUAACCCAUAUACUUAGGGUCUAGUCAGUCUUUUGCUCUAGCACAUAUGCCUAGAGUGGAAGUCAAACCAUACUCGACUAACCCUAACACAUAUACUUAGGGUCUAGUCAGUCUUUUGCUCUAGCACAUAUACCUAGAGUGGAAGUCAAACCGUGCUCGACUAGUCCUAACCGAUAUACUUAGGGUCUAGUCAGCCUUUCGCUCUAGCACAUAUACCUAGAGUGAAAUCCUUAUCCGAUCGAGC